AUUGAACGCUGGCGGCAGGCCUCACACAUGCAAGUCGAGCGAGCGGCGGACGGGUGAGUAAUGUCUGGGAAACUGCCUGAUGGCGGGGGAUAACUACUGGAAACGGUAGCUAAUACCGCAUACCAUCGGAUGUGCCCAGAUGGGAUUAGCUAGUCGGUGGGGUAACGGCUCACCUCGGCGACGAUCCCUAGCUGGUUUGUGAGGAUGACCAGCCACACUGGAACUGAGAAACGGUCCAGACUCCGACGGGAGGCAGCAGUGGGGAAUAUGGCACAAGGGGCGCAAGCCUGAUGCAGCCAUGCCGCGUGUAUGAAGAAGGCCUUCGGGUUGUAAAGUACUUUCAGCGGGGAGGCGUUACCCGCAGAAGAAGCACCGGCUAACUCCGUGCCAGCAGCCGCGGUAAGUC
rnacentral:rRNA from 1 species